rnacentral:rRNA from 1 species
CCUACGGGGGGCAGCAGUGGGGAAUAUUGCACAAUGGGGGAAACCCUGAUGCAGCGACGCCGCGUGAGUGAAGAAGUAUUUCGGUAUGUAAAGCUCUAUUAGCAGGGAAGAAAAUGACGGUACCUGUUUAAGACGCCCCGGCUAACUACGUGCCAGCAGCCAGGGGAAUACGUAGGGGGCAAGGGUAAUCCGGAUUUACUGGGUGUAAAGGGAGGGUAGACGGCAGCACAAGUCUGGAGUUAAAAGCCGGGGCUUAAACCCGGAACUGCUUUGGAAACUGUGCAGCUAGAGUGCAGGAGAAGUAAGUGGAAUGCCUGGUGUAGCGGUGAAAUGCGUAGAUAUUAGGAAGAACACCAGUUGCGAAGGCGGCUUACUGGAGUGUAACUGACGUUGAGGCUCGAAAGCGUGGGGAGCGAACAGGAUUAGAUACCCUUGUAGUC